rnacentral:rRNA from 1 species
CCUACGGGAGGCUGCAGUGAGGAAUAUUGGUCAAUGGGCUUACGCCUGAACCAGCCAAGUCGCGUGAGGGAAGACUGCCCUAUGGGUUGUAAACCUCUUUUGUCAGGGAGCAACGCCGGCUACGUGUAGCCGGACUGAGAGUACCUGAAGAAAAAGCCUCGGCUAACUCCGUGCCAGCAGCCGCGGUAAUACGUAGGUGGCAAGCGUUAUCCGGAUUUACUGGGUGUAAAGGGCGUGUAGGCGGGACUGCAAGUCAGAUGUGAAACCCAUGGGCUCAACCCAUGGCCUGCAUUUGAAACUGUAGUGCUUGAGUGAUGGAGAGGCAGGCGGAAUUCCGUGUGUAGCGGUGAAAUGCGUAGAUAUACGGAGGAACACCAGUGGCGAAGGCGGCCUGCUGGACAGUAACUGACGCUGAGGCGCGAAAGCGUGGGGAGCAAACAGGAUUAGAUACCCCAGUAGUC